CCUCUCAUGGCGUAGUGGUUAACGCGCCCCAAUUAGAGAUCGGGGAGUCGUGAGUUCGAUUCUCACUGAGAAGA
rfam:Aedes aegypti strain Liverpool supercont1.366 genomic scaffold, whole genome shotgun sequence.